rnacentral:rRNA from 1 species
AGCGAACGCUGGCGGCAGGCCUAACACAUGCAAGUCGAGCGCCCCGCAAGGGGAGCGGCAGACGGGAGAGUAACACAUAAAAACAUGCCCUUCAGCUCGGAACAACCCAGGGAAACUUGAGCUAAUACCGGAAACAUCCGUAAGGAGAAAGAUUUAUCGCUGAAGGAUUGGCCCGCGUUCGAUUAGCUAGUUGGGGAGGUAAUGGCUAACCAAGGCGACGAUCGGUAGCUGGUCUGAGAGGAUGAUCAGCCUCACUGGGACUGAGACACGGCCCAGACUCCUACGGGAGGCAGCAGUGGGGAAUAUUGGACAAUGGGCGCAAGCCUGAUCCAGCCAUGCCGCGUGGGUGAUGAAGGCCCUAGGGUUGUAAAGCCCUUUCGGCGAGGAAGAUAAUGACGGUACCCGCAGAAGAAGCCCCAGCUAACUUCGUGCCAGCAGCCGCCGUAAAAC